rnacentral:tRNA from 2 species
GGCCGGUUAGCUCAGCUGGUUAGAGCGUGGUGCUAAUAACGCCAAGGUCACGGGUUCGAUGCCCUUACUGGCCA